rnacentral:rRNA from 1 species
ACCCUUUAAUGUUUGAUGUUCUAACGUGGACCCGUGAUCCGGGUUGCGGACAGUGUCUGGUGGGUAGUUUGACUGGGGCGGUCUCCUCCUAAAGAGUAACGGAGGAGCACGAAGGUUGGCUAAUCCUGGUCGGACAUCAGGAGGUUAGUGCAAUGGCAUAAGCCAGCUUGACUGCGAGCGUGACGGCGCGAGCAGGUGCGAAAGCAGGUCAUAGUGAUCCGGUGGUUCUGAAUGGAAGGGCCAUCGCUCAACGGAUAAAAGGUACUCCGGGGAUAACAGGCUGAUACCGCCCAAGAGUUCAUAUCGACGGCGGUGUUUGGCACCUCGAUGUCGGCUCAUCACAUCCUGGGGCUGAAGUAGGUCCCAAGGGUAUGGCUGUUCGCCAUUUAAAGUGGUACGCGAGCUGGGUUUAGAACGUCGUGAGACAGUUCGGUCCCUAUCUGCCGU